CGGCGAUUCCAAAAAUGGAAAAAAAGAACACCAUCCGUUUCAGCAGCUAAAGUUUUUUAGCCAUUUUGAUUUUCUCGUACACAAGACCAAAAGGAGACCCAAAAAUCGAGAUGGCCAUUCUUGAAUUCUCAAAACACACAUACGACAAAGAAUAUAAGCUUUUCUGAAGAACAAAAACUGAUAUGGCCAUUCUUCAAUUUUGUACAUAGACACUAUUCUGAUCUACACCGAAAUCUGAGGCAUCCGUCGAGGUCGCCGUCGAGGUAUUUAUAAUUUUUACCCCUUUGAUCUUCUUAUGAUUUUUUAGUAUUAGUAAUUGUAUUGUUGAAGAACUGAAGUCGUAUUUGGACCGUUGGAACUGUCUACCUGCUUGUUCAGUGUAUAAAUGGAUCUAUAUUUUGUUGAGAUACAUGACAAUUUUGUGUUCCACCUGCUCUACUAUUAUGCGAUUGAUCACUUUUCUAAUGUUUGAGAAUUGGUUACUCUCGUGACACUUACGAAAGGUUGGUUGUUGCUUCUUGGCAGUGAUUCGUUGGUUUGAUAAAAUAAUUGCG
rnacentral:lncRNA from 1 species